AACGCGAAGAACCUUACCUGGGCUUGACAUACACCGGAUCGGGCUAGAGAUAGUCUUUCCCUUUGUGGCUGGUGUACAGGUGGUGCAUGGUUGUCGUCAGCUCGUGUCGUGAGAUGUUGGGUUAAGUCCCGCAACGAGCGCAACCCUUGUCUUAUGUUGCCAGCAUUUGGUUGGGGACUCAUGAGAGACUGCCGGGGUCAACUCGGAGGAAGGUGGGGAUGACGUCAAAUCAUCAUGCCCCUUAUGUCCAGGGCUUCACACAUGCUACAAUGGUCGGUACAACGCGCAGCGACACUGUGAGGUGGAGCGAAUCGCUGAAAGCCGGCCUUAGUUCGGAUUGGGGUCCGCAACUCGACCCCAUGAAGUCGGAGUCGCUAGUAAUCGCAGAUCAGCAAUGCUGCGGUGAAUACGUUCCCGGGCCUUGUACACACCGCCCGUCACGUCAUGAAAGUUGGUAACACCCGAAGCCGGUGGCCCAAACUUGUUAGGGAGCCGUCGAAGGUGGGAUCGGCGAUUGGGACGAAGUCGUAACAAGGUAACCUUAAUUAAAA
rnacentral:rRNA from 1 species